rnacentral:rRNA from 1 species
UAGAGUUUGAUCCUGGCUCAGGAUGAACGCUGGCGGCGUGCCUAACCCAUGUAAGUCGAGCGAUUCUAGCAAUAGAAGAGCGGCGGAAGGGUGAGUAACACGUAGGAGACCUACCUCAUCGCAGGGAACAACUUCGCGAAAGCGGAGCUAAUACCCAAAAAGCUCGCGGCUUCGGUGCAGCGAGAAGAGUUCGCAAGAGCGUGAUGAGAGGGUCCUGCGGCCCAUCAGCUAGUUGGUAGGGUAGUGGCCUACCAAGGCAACGACGGGUAGGGGGUCUGAGAGGACGAUCCCCCACACUGGAACUGAAACACGGUCCAGACGCCUACGGGUGGCAGCAGGGAGGAAUAUUGGGCAAUGGACGAAAGUCUGACCCAGCAACGCCGCGUGAAGGAUGAAGGCCUUCGGGUCGUAAACUUCUUUUGAGGGAGAAGAGAAAGGACGGUAUCCCUCGAAUAAGCCACGGCUAACUACGUGCCAGCAGCCGCGGUAAUAC